rnacentral:lncRNA from 10 species
CAUGAUUUUUUUUUACCUAUGGUAAAAAAGAAAUAUCCCCUGCAUAUUGCCUCACAUAAAUGAUCUGACAGCUGAGUGAUCCAAGUAUGCCCAUUGUGAAAGGAGAUAUUUGUCAACAGGACACACGUCCAUUAGAAACUAGACCAAAGCCAUGGAUUCAUUUGUCAUAGCUUCCAAAACAGCCUUGACUGGUAAUGAGUUCUUUGCUCUAGAAACCAAGACUCCAUGGGUCAAGGGUUAAUGUCCUCCUACUGCAACAUAAAGUAUUUUUCAUCUGAUCACACUGUGGGCAUUGGCUGAAAAAUGAAUCUGCUAUCCAUGAGGGACCAAGACAUUGAAAAGGCUGUAUUUGGUGUGCUCUCUACCCUCUUGCUUCUAUCCUGUUGCAUAACUUGACCAACUGGUGAAACACCAGAAGAUGGAAGAAGCAAGGAAUACAUUCUCCCUUAGAGCCUCCAGAGAGAGCAUGACGCUGACAGCAUCUUGGUUUUGUUUCAGUGGAACUGAUUUCUGACUUCUGGCCUUCAGAAAUGUGAGAAAAUAAAUUUGUCUUGUUUUAAGCCAUCAAUUAUGUGGCAAUUUGUUAUGGCAGCCCCAGGAACUAAUGCAUACAUACUCUAUUCAAGAAGAUAACAUAUUUGGUUGGACAGCUGGUUAUUUAGGCUACAAAGCUAUUAAUCACUACCUCAUAGGAUUAUUGCAGGCUUAAAUGGAAUAAUUCAUGUAAAG